rnacentral:tRNA from 1 species
UCCCUGGUGGUAGUGGUUAAGACUCUGCAUUUCCACUGCAUGGGACACAGGUUCGAUACCUGAUCAGGGAA